rnacentral:rRNA from 1 species
GAUGAACGCUGGCGGCGUGCCUAAUACAUGCAAGUCGAGCGAAUGGAUUAAGAGCUUGCUCUUAUGAAGUUAGCGGCGGACGGGUGAGUAACACGUGGGUAACCUGCCCAUAAGACUGGGAUAACUCCGGGAAACCGGGGCUAAUACCGGAUAACAUUUUGAACCGCAUGGUUCGAAAUUGAAAGGCGGCUUCGGCUGUCACUUAUGGAUGGACCCGCGUCGCAUUAGCUAGUUGGUGAGGUAACGGCUCACCAAGGCAACGAUGCGUAGCAGACCUGAGAGGCGAAUCGGCCACAAUGGGACUGGAACACGGCCCAGACUCCUACGGGAGGCAGCAGUAGGGAAUCUUCCGCAAUGGACGAAAGUCUGACGGAGCAACGCAGCGUGAGUGAUGAAGGCUUUCGGGUCGUAAAACUCUGUUGUUAGGGAAGAACAAGUGCUAGUUGAAUAAGCUGGCACCUUGACGGUACCUAACCAGAAAGCCACGGCUAACUACGUGCCAGCCGCCGCAGUAA